ensembl:lncRNA IBA57-DT IBA57 divergent transcript
GGACUCGGCCUAUCCGUCAGCACGCAGGCUCCACCCUCGCUGAACUCACAGAGGACAAUUUAGGCAGGAACCACACACUGCUAUGACAUAUCCACCCCACCGUGCUUUCUCGAGGAGUGAUGUCCCAUACCCCCUGCUGAGCAGCCCUGUACAGUGGCCACUUUCCCUGGUAGUAGGUGACACAUCUACAAGGUGGCCCCAGCAGCCUUCAGCCCUAGAGUCUGACUGCCCUGGUCCAAGCCAUCCCUGCCUUGCUGGCCUCCUGGGGCCCAUGCACCCUGUUGACAUUCCCCUCUCCACUGCCCUCCACUCAAAGCACCAAAGAAGACUUACUCAAUGUGUCCUUAUGGUGCAGAGUCCCAGCAAGCAGAGGUCUUUGUAUCUGUUGAAUAAAAAAAUUCCUCAUGAUGCGUAGUAACAUCAGUGAGGAAGACUGCACCAAGGCG